AUGGCAUCUGCUGUUACGGCCACUCCCGAGAGAGUUUGUAGCUUCGAGCCAUCGGUGUGGGAUGACUUCUUCAUACAUUACGAGCCACAACCACUCAAGACAUCCGAAGAUUGCUUGAGGGCGAAGGCUCAAAAACUUCAGGAGGACGUACAGAUGUUGUUUCAGACAUUUACCAGUGUUGUGCAAAAAAUGAACUUGAUCGACACACUCCAACGUCUCGGAAUUGAUCACCUGUUUGAAGAUCAGAUCAACACAACGAUGAAUGAAAUCCACAAGAAGGAAUUCGACAGUUGUAGCCUAUAUGAUGUUGCUCUUCGCUUCCGCUUGCUUCGAGAGCGUGGCCUUUGGGUGUCUCCAGAUGUAUUCAGUAAGUUCAAGGGCAAAGAUGGGAGAUUGAACAGGGAUAUAAUUAGUGAACCAAUGGGAUUAUUGAGUUUAUACAACGCAGCUUACCUAUCGAUCCCUGGUGAAUCGGAACUCGAUGAAGCCAUCGUUUUCGCACGCCAUCAUCUCGAAUCCAUGAGGGGCAGCAUUAAUUACCCUUUUUCUGAACAAGUCAAACGGAACCUUGAGAUACCACUACCAAGGACUUUGAAGAGGCUUGAUGCGCCAUAUUACAUUGCAGAGUACCAACAAGAGAAAGCAUACAACCCGUCUAUAUUGGAACUUGCAAAGCUCGACUUUAAUCUUCUGCAGCGGCUUCACCAAGAGGAACUUAAGGCUUUCUGCCGGUGGGGAAGUGAUCUAUAUGAAGAAGUGAGACUAACCUACUCUCGGCAUCGUAUUGUUGAAUGCUAUUUCUGGUCCUAUACGGAGUACUAUGAACGACAUUAUGGAGAUGCAAGAAUAAUCCUUGCCAAGUUACUUGUUCUGGCAACCCUAUUAGAUGACACUUUCGAUAUGCAUGCUACAUUAGAAGAGGGCCGAAAGCUCAAUGAAGCAAUACAAAGAUGGGAUGAGAGUGCUAUUCCUCUUUUACCAGAGUACUUGAAAAGGUACUUUGUAAGGUUGAUGAAUACUUUCAAAGAGUUUGAGGAUGAAGUGAAGCCAGAUCACAAGUACCGUGUUGCUUACAGUACCAAAGCGUUCCAAAAUUUGUGCAAGCACUAUCAACAGGAAUCUGAAUGGUUUCAUAGCAGUCACAUACCAAGUUUUGAAGAUCACGUCAAAUGCUCGAUCAUCUCCGCUGGUACUCCGACACUAUUUGUCGGUUCACUUGUGGGUAUGGGUGACGAAGCAUCAAAGGAAGCAUUCGAGUGGGCCAUCGGUUGUACCGAUGCUGUAAGGGCUUGUGCUGAGGUGGCACGUUUCAUGGAUGACUUGGCUUCGUUUAAGCAUGGGAAGAACAAAUUUGAUGUGGCUAGCUCCAUCGAAAGCUACAUCAACCAGCAUCAUUGCACGGAUGAGGUAGCUAUGGACGUGUUGGAUAAUCUGGUCGAAGAUGCAUGGAAAACUACCAAUCAGGCACGAUUUGACCGUGGUGCGCUGCUCCCGCUUGUGAACCGAGCUGCGAACUUCACCAAGAGCAUGACCUUGUUGUUCCGUAACAAAUGUGACCGCUACACAUUCAGUCGUGGCAACAAAGACAGGAUCCAGCAGCAGUUCGUACACCCUAUCCCCCUCUAG
rnacentral:rRNA from 1 species